rnacentral:rRNA from 1 species
AUUGAACGCUGGCGGCAUGCUUUACACAUGCAAGUCGAACGGUAACAGGCCUUCGGGUGCUGACGAGUGGCGAACGGGUGAGUAAUGCAUCGGAACGUACCCAGAGGUGGGGGAUAACGCAGCGAAAGCUGUGCUAAUACCGCAUGUGAUCUGAGGAUGAAAGCGGGGGACCGAGCAGCAAUGUUUGGCCUCGCGCCUUUGGAGCGGCCGAUGUCGGAUUAGCUAGUUGGUGGGGUAAAGGCCUACCAAGGCGACGAUCCAUAGCUGGUCUGAGAGGACGACCAGCCACACUGGGACUGAGACACGGCCCAGACUCCUACGGGAGGCAGCAAUGGGGAAUUUUGGACAAUGGGCGCAAGCCUGAUCCAGCAAUGCCGCGUGCGGGAAGAAGGCCUUCGGGUUGUAAACCGCUUUUGGCAGGAACGAAACGGUGUCCGCUAAUACCGGGCGCUAAUGACGGUACCUGCAGAAUAAGCACCGGCUAACUACGUG